AAAGUGCUCAGCCCCCAGGGCACAGCAGGACGUUUGGGGGCCUUCUUUCAGCAGGGGACAGCCCGAUUGGGGACAAUGGCAUCUCUUGGCCACAUCUUGGUUUUCUGUGUGGGUCUCCUCACCAUGGCCAAGGCAGAAAGUCCAAAGGAACACGACCCGUUCACUUAUGACUACCAGUCCCUGCAGAUAGGAGGCCUCGUCAUCGCCGGGAUCCUCUUCAUCCUGGGCAUCCUCAUCGUGCUGAGCAGAAGAUGCCGGUGCAAGUUCAACCAGCAGCAGAGGACUGGGGAACCCGAUGAAGAGGAGGGAACUUUCCGCAGCUCCAUCCGCCGUCUGUCCACCCGCAGGCGGUAGAAACACCUGGCGCGAUGCAAUCCGGCCAGGACUCCCCUGGCACCUGACGUCUCCCACGCUCCACCUGCGCGCCCACCGCCCCCUCCGCCGCCCCUUCCCCAGCCCUGCCCCCGCAGACUCCCCCUGCAGCCCAGAAUUCCAAUAAAACCUGCUGCAGCGCGCCUUCGCCGCCAAAGCAUCCAGCAGCCCCUGCUCCGGCCCAGCAUGGCGACCCCGACCCAGACCCCCACAAA
rnacentral:sRNA from 1 species